GUUAGCUCAGUCGGUUAGAGUAUGGUGCUGAUAAUGCCAAGGUUUCAGGUUCGAUACCCAUAUGGGCCA